UUGCUUAUGUGAGCUAAAUUUAAUUACUCACUUGAUAGCUUUUGAGAGAUAGUACAAAUGUCCACGGUGGUAUGUUAUCCUCAAGGUAUCAUUGAGAUCUUCCUUCACAGGCACUGAACCAUUAUUUGCAGUAGCCAAUCCUGCACAAGACCAUAUAACGCAUUAGUUUGAAUCAUAUUAAAAUGAAAUCAAAAUAUUGUUCCAUGACUUAAAAACAAUAUAAGUUGAUAAUCGAUUCAUUAAGCCUACCAUUCUCUGUGAUGUAAAUAGUUGGAUUGUUGUAAUGUUCCUUGAUGUAAAGCAUAUGUUUUUUGAUUCCCCAUGGACAAAUGUAAAGCCAAUUCAACGGGGUCUACAAAAUCACACACCAUAGAUCACUUAGUAAUGAAUUCAUGAAUUCAUAUAGGUUAUGUCUGGUUCCUAAAACAUAUUAAAAAAUAAAAUAAAAUACUAAAAAAAAGUCAAUUUUUUUCAUGUUUAAUUAUACUCUGGAAAAUAUCAAAGAAAUUAAAUAUAAUUAAAAUUAAUUAGAAAACUUAUAUAUUUUAAUUUUUUUAAUUUUUAUAUUGAAAAGUCAAAAUAAGUAAAAUAAACUUCAAGUAAUAUAUAAAAAUAAUUUAUUGGUUUAAUUUUUUUUUUUCAUUCUAUUUUUUCUCUUUCUUUUUUUUAUAUAUUAUUUUUUUUUUUUUGCAUAUUCCCUCAAUUUUUUUGAGGAACCAAACAUAACCUUGUAUAUCUAAGGACAGAGACAUUGCCGGUUGGCCAAUGUUAACCCCAUCUUUCUCCGCUAUAGCCAUAGAAAAAAUAAAAAGGGUUUAGUCACCUAAAGGCAAAGCAUGAAGGAGAACACGAAUCAUAGUUGAGCUCAUAAGAUUGAGUUUUUCAAGCUUACUGGUUAGGUUGAGUCGGCCAUCUAGUGCCCAGCUUAGCUCCAAGGUGUUUACUGCUGAUGCAUAGGUAGUAGCGUAAUUCGAAGUGUAGUAAUUAAUUCCUAAGAAAUCCAAUGAUCCCUUGAGCAUUUCGGAUUCUGCUGGCGAGAAUUUGGGGAGUCGAUGCCCCACAAGAGAUUGCAUGGUCAUUGGGUACUCGCCAUAUGUGAUUGGAUGUAAAAACCUAAAAAAAAGAAUGAAAAAAUUCAUAUAAAAGUUAAUCAAUGAGUUGCCUACACAGUUCAUUCAUAAACAUUACUUUCGCUAGUUAAACAAUUUACCCUACCAAUGGUCAUAAUAUUAAUUUAUUGAUUCAUAGCAUAUAUUGUUAUUUUCCAAUUGUGCCAAUAUCAAUAAUGGGUUUUCAUUGUUACUAAAGAUCUAUCAAAAUGUGAAUGUCAUUUGGCAAAUCAUUGUAACACUUAAAGAUUCCAUGCAUGCAAUACUCUUAGUUUUUCUUAAUGCAUUCAAAAUCUAGUUAUUGUUACAAUCAAAAAAUGAUUACGUCAAUAUGAAUAGAAAAAAAUGAGGCAAUUAUCUAAAAAGGUCUCAACUACAUUUCUUGAUUUUUGAAUUAAUAUGAUCUUGAAGAUUACAAGUUGUAUAUAAAUUGGCACAUAUUCGAUAGUUAAAAAAAUAUACACUUUGAUGCCGAAGAACCCUAAUAUUUAACUAGGAUAGAUAGCAUUGAUGACAAAAAAUGUUGUCAUGUAAAUGUUUUAAAUGCUUUCACAUGGUUAUGGGUUUUCAAAAUAACCAUUUUUUUAUGACAUUGAUUGACAAUUGUCUUUUAAAUAUGGAAGAAGUUUUUUUCGUAAAGACAACUUCAAGAUUUAAUUGAAGUUGUCCCCUCCAAAUAACUUUCAACUAUAUUUGUUUAAAGUGUUGUAAAUUUAAAAAUAUUUUUUAAAUUAUAAUAUUUUAAAAGAAAAUUAAAUUACUAUAUUUUUCUCAAAAUCUCCCGCCAAGAAAUAGAGUACUUAACAGUUUUCACAUGCUCAAAAUCUUUUUGAAUUCAGAAAAAGGCCAAAAGAAAGUGGAAAUAAUUGAAGUGGAUUGAUUUGACCGUACUCAAUAAAGUGAGAAAUAGAUAAGUAGUUUUUGAAAGUUUUAAAAUUACUUAAAAUUAUUACCAUAUAAUAAUAACAAUAAUAAUAAAAUCUUUUCUCCAUGGAAAAAACUAAAAGAACAUAUUUUUUUUUAAAAGUUAUCUUUUUUGAAUUUUAGUUAUUUAUUUUGAUGAAAAACAAAAGUUAAUGCAUUUAUAUUAUAAAAAUAAAAUAUUUAUUAUUUUAUGUAGUUUCAUUUAUGACUUGGAUAAAAACCUUGUCAAUAAAAUAAUCGAUCUAGAUUUCGAACAUUUCAUAAAAUAAUUUGAAGAUAGAUAGAAUCGAUGGGCUGGAUUGACCAUUCUCUUUUUUUUUGUUCUUUUCUUCUUUUUUUAUUUUUUAUUUUCCCAAAACGUGUAACAUUGUCUUUCAAAAGGGUCACUAGCUUUUUUACUUUUUCUAAAGUGUUUUAUUUUCUAAUGUUUAAAGGAGGUUUGUGUGGGGCCCAUUUUUUUUAAAUAUUUCAAGCUUUAUUGCUUGUUUUUUUGUUUUGUUUCUUUGUUUUUUGGUUUUUUUUUUUUUUUUUUUUUUUUUUUGAGGUGGUUACCAUGGAGGAAAAUAUCGGGAUAUAUCGGCGAUAUAUCGCCGAUAUAUCUUGUAUCGGGAGGAGGCGACACGAUAUUUCAUGGAGAAAAAUCGGAGAGGAGAUAUUUCCGUAAAUAUCGCCAAAAUAUCGGCGAUAUAUCGGCGAUAUAUCGGUUCGGGGAGAUAUAUCGGAGAUUUUUUCAAAAAAUCUCCUCUGGUGGCAAAAAAUCGGAGAUAUAUCGAUGAUAUAUCGGAGAUAUAUCGGUGAUAUAUCGGUGAUAUAUCGGAGAUAUAUCGGUGAUUUUUUGGUGAUAUUUCCCCUCCUUUAUGCAACGUGAUCUGACGGCCCAGAUCACGCCCGUGUUGAUCCGACGGUCUAGAUGUGAUUCCAAUGGUAAUAUGGCGAUCCAACGGCCCGAUUGCUCCUAGUUUUUUAUCCAAUGGCUAAAAUUGAUUUUCAACAGUAAAUUAAUGUUCCAACGGCUAUUUUGGCCCAAAUUUCUUCUAUAAAUAACCCAAAUUUCAUCUAUUUCAUCCAUUUUUGCUUUCAUUCUUCAUUUGCUCUCUCAUUACUCCAAUUUUUAUUAAGGUUGCUCAAUUAUUUAAUUAUUUUAAGGUAUAUUUGUUUUAAAUUAUAAUUAAUUUUGUUUGCAAUUGUAAUUAAUUCAUGUAUUUUCAAUUAAUUAGUAUGUUUGCAAUAUGGAUGAUUUAAUGCUAUUUUUACAUUCAAUUGUAAUUAAUUUUUAUAUUUUUACUGAAUUAACUUAGGUUGAUUUGAUUAUUUAAUUAUAAAUUGAUAUGUUUAUUUUAGAUGAUUAUUUGUGAUUUAUUUUCACAUUUAAAAUUAAAUUAAACUAGUUAACUUAGCUAAAUUAUUUAAUUAAUUUAAUUAACAUGCUAAAUUAUUUAAUUAAUUUAAUUAACAUGAAAUAAUAUAUUUUGAAUAUGAAAUAUGUUUAUUUAAUGAAUUUAAUGUGUACAAAUUAUUGAUAUUUAAUGAAAUGAAAUAUUUUAUGUGACUUUAUAAUGAGAACAAUUACAAAAUUAACAUUUCUUAUAAAUCGACAUGAUGUAAUUACAUCUAAUAUCGCAAAUUAUAUCAUAUAUAUAUCAAAUUUUUCAAUAAAACAACAUUAAAAUGUCAAUUAUACUUCUAAUUAUAUUAUUAUGAGGUUUUUCUUGCAUUUUCAUGAGUUUUUAACAAUUUUAAGUCUACCAAUAUUUUUUUCCAGAAUAUCCGCCGAUAUAUCUCCGAUAUAUCCGAUAUAUCCGUAAAAUCGAAGUACCGAUAUAUCCGUGAUUACCGAUAUUUUCUUCCAUGGUGGUUACCAUGUAGUGAAGUCGCUUUCCAAUUUUCAAUUACAUACAAUAAGAUUCACAAGAAUACACAAUUAUUAUUUCCAAUUUAGAAUUUUUAUAUCAAAAUCAAGUAAUAGCAUUACAAAAUGAAUAAAAUAUAAAUAGAAAUGAUAAAAUCUAAAAUUAAUGAAAUAUCAAUAAAAUAAAUAAUAAAACUAUAUUUCACUCUUUAAUAUACAAACUAUCUUAAUAAAAAUAAAACACUGUAAUUUUGUAUUUAAUAAAAUAAAUUUUUUUAAUGUAUUUAUAUUUUAUAAUAUGAUAGUAUUAAAAAUAAAAAAUUUUAAGUUUUUAAAUCAUUUAUUUAUGUAUAAUUUUAAUAUGAAUCAUACAUUUAUGAUAUCAUCUUGCAUCAUGAUUCAAUCAUCAUUUUGUGAUCCGAUUAUUUAAUUUAUUUUGGAUAAGAAGAUAAACAAGCUUGAUUUCAAAACUUUUGGCUACUUUUGGCCAAUCAUGCAGAAAGCCAGCACUUCAUGUGGCCUACUGACAUCUUAUCGGAUCUGGAAUGAAUCCUACUGGGACCAUUGAAAUCCCAAGUUUUAAUAUCUCUGUUACGAUUUCUUAUAGCAACAGAUCAGCUACAGUUUUAUAAUAAAAUAUGGUUUUAGGGCAUGUGUGAAGCUUUGUGAAACACGAGGUGCGGCUGGCAGUAUGGAAAGUUUCAUCUUGAUGGAUUGGAUUCUCCUGUCAAAUACACAGUUCUACUCAAGCAAUUUAAUCAUAGAGGACUGCAUUUAUAUACUUUGAAAACUCUUUACGAGAUAAAUCAAUUUUAUGUACAUAACUACUAUGGAUUAACCUAUGCUUCAUUCUUGAAAAUUUUGAAAGAAAAUAAAUAAAUAAAUAAAAAGAAGAAAAAAAAAAUUGAAGUUAGUAGAUUAUUUUACAUGUUUUUUUUUAAUUAUUUUACCUAUUUUUUUCUUUUAUAUAUAAAGAAUAAGAAAUUUGAAAAUGUUUAAGGAUCUUUUCAGCAAUGUUUUCAAAAAGAUUUAUCAAAAAACAAAUUUUUAAAAUUGUUCUUAAAAUGGGUUUCAAUUGAUUUUAUGCAAAAAAAAAUUUGUUUGAAAACUUAUGUACAAUUUAAAAGUUUCUGAAGUAUUGUUUACGUCAUUUUCAAUUGUUGCUCAAUAUGUUUAUCGAAAAACAAUUGCAAACAUUUCAAAUCUUGUUUCUUCUUAUGACAUGAUAAAUAAUGUUUUCUAGGUACAUAAUAAACACCUCGAAAUAAUGUUUUUAGCUUAUAGCCAUGAAAAAAUGGAGAUUUAUGGUUGGUUGAGUCAUUCAAAGAAUCAUGUCAAUGGGAAAUUGUGUUCAUUGAGAGCUAUAAAUUGAAGUUAUAGAAGACACUUCAUGAAAUGAGAAAGACUCGAGGCUUUCUUCUUAUUAAUACUAAGUUAAGCAAGUCUCAUAUUACAACACAUAGGCAUUGUUUUCAUGGUGAAGAUCUUGAAGAUCCUCUUUUAGCACACUAAUACUAAUUAACGAUACCAAACUCUAGACGAUGGCAAAAACCACCUAGUAGCUGGGAUUACAUGUUUUAUUUUUGGAGGAACUUCUUGAACCAAUAAGCAGAAUGCUUUGGGUAUCGCUUUAAACCAUUUUUAUAAUCCACAUAACUGAGGCCAAAGCGAAAGGUGAAACCAGCAUCCCAUUCAAAGUCGUCAAGAAAAGACCAUGCAAAGUAUCCUUUCACAUUGACGCCCUCCCUGCCAAAAUUGCAUACAUACAUACACUAUAUUAGUAAUAAUAUUCUAGUACUUCGGAAAAAUCUCAAAAUUAGGAUGACCUAAUAUAUGUAUUACUGCAAGCUAGGCCUCAAUGUUAUAAAUUCCAACCUCAAUGAAGGCAAGAUUUGAUUUCAAGAAUAUAGUACAAUACCCUAAAAACUUCAAAACUAGACUUAGUGCAAUGUAAUAUCUUAGUUAAAUAUUUCAUAUUCUUAUUAUUAGAUUAUUAAUUUGACUUAAAAGCUUAACUUAUCACAUGUGAGCAUAAAUGAGAUAAACUUUAUAUAUUAUGCCAACGUGCUUAGGCUAAAACCCUAACACUCACAUAACCCAUGGAUGUUGCAUAUGUGAGCUAAAUGUAAUUACUCACUUGAUAGCUUUUGAGAGAUAGUACAAAUGUCCACGGUGGUAUGUUAUCCUCAAGGUAUCAUUAAGAUCUUCCUUCACAGGCACUGAAGCAUUAUUUGCAGUAGCCAAGCCUGCACAAGACCAUAUAACGGAUUAGUUUGAAUCAUAUUAAAAUGAAAUCAAAAUAUUGUUCCAUGACUUAAAAACAAUAUAAGUUGAUAAUCAAUUCAUUAAGCCUACCAUUCAUUCAUU
rnacentral:lncRNA from 1 species